UAAAGUGGCGUGCAACACUCCCUCCAUUUUUGCUCCAAGACAGCCGAAACCAAGAAGAAGAAAAAGAGACCAAAAGCUCUUCAUUUUAUUGCUCAUUCCUCUAACCAUUUCACCUCAAAAUUUGUACACAACUUCCUUAAUACUAGAAGAACAACUCUAGCCAGGCGCUCAAGAGGACUUUCCAGAGGAUCUCACGGGAGACACCUAAACCAUCAUUUGAACUUGCUACUUGAAUCACUGAGCUGAAAUGGAAAGAAUUAUGGAGAGGUUUGCUUGAUGGCCCUUUUGAUUAGACUUUUGAAUGUAUUUGUUUAGACAACUUUUGAAAGCUGCCUAUUUUGGGAAUGUAAAAUAUUUUGGUAGCUUAUGAUGUAAGACCUGAACAAUUACAAAGGAAUUUACCUUCCUUUCU